AUUGAACGCUGGCGGCAGGCUUAACACAUGCAAGUCGAGCGGAAACGAGAAUAGCUUGCUAUUCGGCGUCGAGCGGCGGACGGGUGAGUAAUGCUUGGGAAUAUGCCUUGAGGUGGGGGACAACAGUUGGAAACGACUGCUAAUACCGCAUAAUGUCUACGGACCAAAGGAGGGGAUCUUCGGACCUUUCGCCUUUAGAUUAGCCCAAGUGAGAUUAGCUAGAUGGUGGGGUAAUGGCCUACCAUGGCGACGAUCUCUAGCUGGUUUGAGAGGAUGAUCAGCCACACUGGGACUGAGACACGGCCCAG
rnacentral:rRNA from 1 species